AGAACACAUGUUGAUUCUUAUCAAGUUGGUGGGCAGGCAAUCUUUUCUACUCCAUAUAUUGCAUUUAUAUCUGUAAUGAUUAACCCUAAUGGUCUCAGAUCAGCAGUAGAAAGAAGUAGGCCUAAUUAUUUUAGGUGUAAUCUUCAAAGAUAUUAGGGGGAAAUAAACACUGUACCCAAAUCCACGUUUUACAAUGCUCCUGGGAAAUGGGUAGGCCUCCACCUAUAGUCCUUCACAGUUUUACAGCUGUGAUAUAUUUAUUUAUUUACAUAGAUCACAUACAUAAAUAAAUAUGAUAGCUGUAGGUAGCGUUGAGAUAAAAUUCCCAUAUUCUAUUGCUACUAACAUAAAUCCUAAUAUAUCAUGUUUUCCUCAUUUGCUCUGUAGGAGGUUCGUCAUAUGAAGGACAUUCAAGUGGAUGUGACCCCUAACCUGCAAUAGGGGCUCAGUGAGGUGACAGACAUCCUGUAAUGGAUCUCCAGCUAGUGUCUGAGGACCUGGAGAAGGCUGUGUCUACAGCUGUGGGGCAGGACAAGCAUGGGACAGACAUCCUGAACGAAUCUGAUGUCAGAGCUCCCAUCAGCCCUCUACACCUCGCUUCACCACCAUGCUAUGGAGGUCCUGGUUCAGUCUCUGCUGGAUCUAGACGUGAGGGACAGCCAGGGGCGCACCCCUCUGGACCUGGCUGCCUUAAAAAGCCUUGUGGAGUGUGUUGACGUCCUCAUCAACCAGGAAGCCUCCAUCCUGGUUAAAGACUUCACUCUGAAGAGGACCCCCAUCCACGCUGCAGCAACCAACGGACAUUCGGAGUGUUUGCGUUUGCUGAUUGGAAAUGCUGACAUCCAGAGUACAGUGGACAUUCAAGACGGAAUAGUCACUUGGGUUUUGGAUACAAUUCCUGAAAUAAAGAGAUUUUGAAACUGGGGCUGCAUCCAAAAUGGCAACCUGUACCCUACUUGGUACAGUACUUUAAACCAAAGUCCUAUGGGCUCAGGUCAAGAGUAGUGUACCAUAUAGGGAAUAGGUUGCCAUUUGGGACUCAGCCUGGUUACUACCAGUUUGUAAUAUGACCUGUUGUCUUGUGUAUCAGAACCCCUCUGAUGCUGUCGGUGCUGAGCGGACACAGACUGUGUGUACUCCCUGUUCAACAAGGGAGCAAGCGUAGAAGCCAAAGACAAAUGGCACAGAACAGCUCUACACAGAAGGGUUGUGAGGAGAGUUGGCUGCGGUGACUUUUCACGAGGAGUGCAGCACAGUGCCAGCUUCCUGGUUCGGGAAGGUAAGGGGCGGAGCCAUGUCCACCUGGUGGCGGCGUCCGGACACAUCGGGAUACUGGGGUGGCUCCUACACACCGCCCAGUCAGUGUGGACCCUCCCCGUCAUCACAGACAACCAGGGCUACACGCCACUACACUUGGCCUGCUACAACGGAGGUUCGUCAUAUGAAGGACAUUCAAGUGGAUGUGACCCCUAACCUGCAAUAGGGGCUCAGUGAGGUGACAGACAUCCUGUAAUGGAUCUCCAGCUAGUGUCUGAGGACCUGGAGAAGGCUGUGUCUACAGCUGUGGGGCAGGACAAGCAUGGGACAGACAUCCUGAACGAAUCUGAUGUCAGAGCUCCCAUCAGCCCUCUACACCUCGCUGCGGUGACUUUUCACGAGGAGUGCAGCACAGUGCCAGCUUCCUGGUUCGGGAAGGUAAGGGGCGGAGCCAUGUCCACCUGGUGGCGGCGUCCGGACACAUCGGGAUACUGGGGUGGCUCCUACACACCGCCCAGUCAGUGUGGACCCUCCCCGUCAUCACAGACAACCAGGGCUACACGCCACUACACUUGGCCUGCUACAACGGUAUGUACUGGACAGAGGGACAGCGAAGUGGGCCAGAGGCCACAAACAAAUACACACAUAAACAUAGCGUGUCUUAAAUCACCACAGCCAGCUUCAGGAGGGCACGAACCGAGACAGUCCGCACAGGAACCUUAAGAGUCCCUCAGACAGAGAGAGAGAAGAGGGAGGGAUAGGGGGAGGCACAACAGGCCCACACUCAUCCUCUCAUACCACCAGGUUCCCUUCCAGCAGAUACUGGACUUCAGAGGAACUGCUGCUGCUAUACCCCAUCUUUACCUUUACCCACAAAGGUCCUAAACGGUAGAAAGUGUCCGGCCAACAGACAGACGCACACCUUAUGACGGCAAUAACCUGUAGUCCAAGGGGAUAGUAGCACUUCACUGAGAGCAAAACAGACAGGGACCAAAAGAUGUGGAAGAAGCAUUUUCAAAACCUGUUUUGACUGUAGAAAUUGGGCUGAGUGUUUGUGCUGAGAAAAGACAUAAGGAGUGAUGUUUCAUUUAAGUUUCAUGAGAGUGAUUGUCAUGUUUAUCCGCACACUAAGACAGUCAGAACGCACCUAGCCUCUUGUCUGUAAUCCAUGUGGGAGGAGGGGAAAUCAUACAUUCUGUAUGAACAAAUAUU